UGCAUCAUCAGAUCCAGUGCAGAUUGUUUUGCCAUCAGGGGUAAAAUCUCCACAAGUGACCCUACCGCCAUGUCCAGAGAACAUAUUAAGAAAGGCACCUUUAUCAGCAUUCCACAUCCAGGCAUUAGAGUCCUCAGAACCAGCCAAGACAAGAUGCCCUCUUGGAUGCCAUCUGACCCACUCAAUUUCCCCUCCAGGAUUUUCAAAUUUAUAUUUAAAGUUUCCUGAUGAAGCAUCCCAAAUUUGGACAAAUCCAUCCAUCCCCCCAGAUGCAAGCAACA
rnacentral:misc_RNA from 1 species